GCUCAAUGAUGAGACCAAGGCGAAUGCGAGCCAACUGAAAGAGGGUUGUGAUGCGUCUCGAUUGGCCGGUAAUCUUGGCAGUGUAGCGGAGAUUGGCUGCUCUGCUGUAAGGGCCGGCCUACAGUGACUUGGCCCCACCCACAUGUUUCUCCAGCUAAAGAAACACUGUAGAGAAUAGUGGGAGGGUGCUGACAGUGUGGCUGACGUGUGUUUGUUUGUCUGUAUGUGUGAGGCAGGGAGAAACCCAGCUCUCCUCAAUAUUCAGUUGGCCAUGAGUGUUCUUCUUUGUUAAUCUGAGGGCU